rnacentral:rRNA from 1 species
UACGAAGGGGGCUAGCGUUGUUCGGAAUUACUGGGCGUAAAGCGCACGUAGGCGGGUUAUUAAGUCAGGGGUGAAAUCCUGGAGCUCAACUCCAGAAUUGCCUUCGAUACUGGCUUUCUAGAGGCUGGAAGAGGUUAGUGGAAUUCCCAGUGUAGAGGUGAAAUUCGUAGAUAUUGGGAAGAACACCAGUGGCGAAGGCGGCUAACUGGUCCAGAUCUGACGCUGAGGUGCGAAAGCGUGGGGAGCAAACAGG